GCAGGUUCAGUCCCAUUCCCCUUGGGACAUGGCACUGGGCAGCAGGGCUGGCAAGGAGGAGCUGUGCAGAGCCAGCCUCCCUCAGGGGCUGCUCGUGCAGCUCCCCACACUGUGCUGUCUUCCCUUGCGGGGCUGGGCACCUGAUCGCCUCUCCGUCGGCUUCGCUUGUGGUAGCUGAGCCUGUAAUGUUGGCUGGCAAAGCAACAAUCUCCACGUAUCACGAAGCAGCUUGCCAGGGGAGACGAGCAGGGCACGGACCCGGGCAUCCUGUCCUGCUGCACCCAGAGCAUCGCAUGAGCUCCCGGGCUCCACCACCACGGUGGGGACCUACUGCCAUCCGAGGGGGCCUGUGCUCAUUCCUUUGGUAAGUCCAGAGAUCACAUGGAAAUUAGGGGCUGAUGCCUGCUUCUCCAGGCACCGCGGGGGAAUGGAGAGGCAGAGCCAUCCUGCAAGUGUCCGUUUCAGCCCAGCCUAAUUGGCUAGGGCCUUUCAAUCAGGCACUUCAUGAAGACACUCAGGAGUGUGCCUGCUGCUCUUCUGCAUGGGCAAACAGGAGAUGAUUUGAGCCACAGGUUAAGAAGGGAUGGGCCACCCUCCUGCCAUAAUCAGCCCUCAUCAAUCACCACGUUCAGCAUGGACAUAGAAGGGCUGGAGUGCAGCUAACAAGACUUUGUCAGUUAAAAGCCGGAGCGGAGGGUAUCACAAGUGUUAAAACACUCAAUUUACUACAGGUGAAGGUAAAGCAAUCUGUAUCCCCAUUGCUGGAGUCAGCUGAGGCGCGCCUGUUGCUGACAAAUGUGGAUGGACAGAUAUGUAAAGAUGAUGCGUCAUGAGCUCUGCUGAUGAGUUUACAGCAGAAGGCUCUGAAUUCACAUCAAAUGUGUCAAAGGGUGACAGAACUACAUCACACAAACUCU
rnacentral:lncRNA from 1 species